rnacentral:rRNA from 2 species
GGGUUGUGAGGUUAAGCGACUAAGCGUACACGGUGGAUGCCCUGGCAGUCAGAGGCGAUGAAGGACGUGCUAAUCUGCGAUAAGCGCCGGUAAGGUGAUAUGAACCGUUAUAACCGACGAUUUCCGAAUGGGGAAACCCAGUGUGACUCGUCACACUAUCAUUAACUGAAUCCAUAGGUUAAUGAGGCGAACCGGGGGAACUGAAACAUCUAAGUACCCCGAGGAAAAGAAAUCAACCGAGAUUCCCCCAGUAGCGGCGAGCGAACGGGGAGGAGCCCAGAGCCUGAAUCAGCAUGUGUGUUAGUGGAAGCGUCUGGAAAGGCGCGCGAUACAGGGUGACAGCCCCGUACACAAAAGCGCAUGUGCUGUGAGCUCGAUGAGUAGGGCGGGACACGUGGUAUCCUGUCUGAAUAUGGGGGGACCAUCCUCCAAGGCUAAAUACUCCUGACUGACCGAUAGUGAACCAGUACCGUGAGGGAAAGGCGAAAAGAACCCCGGCGAGGGGAGUGAAAAAGAACCUGAAACCGUGUACGUACAAGCAGUGGGAGCACCUUCGGGUGUGACUGCGUACCUUUUGUAUAAUGGGUCAGCGACUUAUAUUCUGUAGCAAGGUUAACCGAAUAGGGGAGCCGUAGGGAAACCGAGUCUUAACCGGGCGUUAAGUUGCAGGGUAUAGACCCGAAACCCGGUGAUCUAGCCAUGGGCAGGUUGAAGGUUGGGUAACACUAACUGGAGGACCGAACCGACUAAUGUUGAAAAAUUAGCGGAUGACCUGUGGCUGGGGGUGAAAGGCCAAUCAAACCGGGAGAUAGCUGGUUCUCCCCGAAAGCUAUUUAGGUAGCGCCUCGUGAAUUCAUCUCCGGGGGUAGAGCACUGUUUCGGCUAGGGGGCCAUCCCGGCUUACCAACCCGAUGCAAACUGCGAAUACCGGAGAAUGUUAUCACGGGAGACACACGGCGGGUGCUAACGUCCGUCGUGAAGAGGGAAACAACCCAGACCGCCAGCUAAGGUCCCAAAGUCAUGGUUAAGUGGGAAACGAUGUGGGAAGGCUCAGACAGCCAGGAUGUUGGCUUAGAAGCAGCCAUCAUUUAAAGAAAGCGUAAUAGCUCACUGGUCGAGUCGGCCUGCGCGGAAGAUGUAACGGGGCUAAACCAUGCACCGAAGCUGCGGCAGCGACACUGUGUGUUGUUGGGUAGGGGAGCGUUCUGUAAGCCUGUGAAGGUGUGCUGUGAGGC